UAUCAAAUUUUCCUCGCGAUCGUGCAAACUGGCCGAUAUAAUACAAAAUAUUAAUAGAAUUGCUCGUACAUGUGGAAUUAAGUAAUAAUCGUUCUUCCUUACGAUAUCAAAUGUCUCGAUGCUUUCGUCUGGCACUCGUGUUGAUAUUUCCAACACGUAAACCUGGAAAUGCUACAACACAGGCUUCCAUUCAGCGAAUAAUUCACUGUCCCAGCAUUGACACUGACGGAAGACCGGACAAUUGGUUCCCCCCGCCCUUUCUUUGAUCUCAGAAAUAUCGUUUGCAUCUCAAGGACGCCUUGACGAGGAAGUUGCAAGUUUUCUAAUGACGUCCGCGAUCGCCCACUGCUUCUGGAUGCGAAUCAAGCCCGUGAUUUCCUCGCGUCUAGAAGAGACGCGUACGUCGACUGCGAAAUUCCGACUUUCGUCGAACUCGAGUCUGGAUGAUUAUUUAUUUUCAGCUGGCAAAGCUAACCUGCGACGUUCGCGAUUUCCUACUCAAGGAUUCUUUCGUGUACGCAGCCACUCUGGAUCGUUUCGGAAUAAAUAUCUUUGGCAUCGGGCAGCCUUUCCUCGUCGCUGGAAUAGCUGCCAAAUUCUGCCUAUUUACAAAUCGAGACAUGGCUCGCGUUUAGCUACCGUGUACAUUGAAAACCAUAAAGCUUUCGAUUGAACUGGUUUCUACGUAAACAGUUUUACAGAUAACAGCAAAGAGAAAUAAAUACAAUAUUCCCGUUAGUUGGACUGAUUUGAAUAAAGCGUCGCGAGUUGAGUGAACCACGUUUCGCACGACAGUCGCAUAUGCUCGCAUGGUUCACGGUUUAAUUCUGUGCCUCUGUUAUCGAUAAUUUACAACUCUAGUUUAAACAGAUAUUCUUAAUCGCAAGAUGACGAUUAAGUAAGUGAUUAAAUAUAAAUGCACAGAAUUAAUGUCUACAUCUACUAAAUACUUUUAUAAGACAUGUUUCCACGUGUGCGUAAAGAAUGUGGGUUUACAGUUGUCGGUAAAUAAUAACGCCGCGCCGUUGCUUCGCAAUCAAUUGCCGUGACUGCGUCAGUGAAAGGCCACGCAAAUGACUCGUUAGCUUCGUACGUGACAAAAUGUUGCCGCGCGUGUUCGAAAGGAACGAUCUCUGUAAAGGGUGAAGGAUUCAUCUGCCGUCCACCUUUCCCCAUUGUCGAGGCGUCUACGCGUUACUCACCUGACCAUAAAGAUAACUUUCGUGAAUCAUAAAAGUGACUAUGCAUCGGUGUGCCGUGGGUGUAUCCAUGCGUGGCUCGCACACGUACUCGGAAGCGGAUAGGCGCGUACAGUCGAUGAAUAGCCAACUCGAAUCAUUAACGUUCGAUAUCGUACGCUUUUACGCGCCGCCCAAAAUCGUCGAUAUUUUAGUCGUAGUAAUUCGUUGCCACGGGUUAAUAACGCAGAAGAAGAUAUAGGGGAUGCGAUUUCUGCACCGCUGAGGUCGAUCAUUCUUUCUCUGCUCGGCCACCGUAUACACGCAACGGAAAACACACGAGCGUUCGCGUGCGUGUCGAGCGACGGUUCCCAUGGGAUGCGAAGGAUGUACGCGAUAUUUUCAAGUUUCCCAGCAGUCCCACGGCGACUUCCGGUUCCGCGGCUAGUUAUUCGCUUCCGGUGCCAUGACAAUUUUCCAUCGGCGAGGAUAAUGUCUGUGGAAAAAUAAUUGACGCUGUACGAUUCCAUUUCAUCGGACUGGAAAUUGCAAGAACGCGAAGCAGUUAUGUUUUCAUACAUACGUACCGAGCCCAAGAACCAUUGUACAGCAUAAUUUUGUCUCGUUCCCUUGAUUUAUCCGUGUCUCCAAUUACGGUACUUGGUUGCAUAAUGACGAGUGCCUGGAAGACGUCGUAACGUUACAACGAAAACGUACAAGUGUACACGUAACGGGUAACCGAACGAAACGUUUCUCUACGACCUUGAUCCUUUUUUUCCCCGUGAAAUAUGGCGCAGGUGUUUACCUGGCCGGUCGGGAUGCAACCAGGCCUGUCCGUCCGUCGUGCGCAAGCCAACUUGAAACCGGAAGCGUCGCUUUCUGCCCUGCUGGCCACGAACAAUGAGAUCGAGAGAUUCCUGGGAGGACGCGAGCACGAUCAAACGCUAAGGAUACAUUGACACCGACGUUUCCGGUUGUUUGUGCCUGCCCGAGCGAUCGAUAGAGCGUCGAGACAAUGGAGAAGAUCUUUUCACGGCCAGUGUCGCCGCGUAGUUCGAGUUCGGACGGCAACAGGUGUGAUGCAACAGAGUGGAUACGAAGGAUCUUCCCUCUCGCUUCUCGAUCGUUCCUGCAUCCACGAGGGAACGGGCCGUUUAUUCGAAACACCUAAAAACGCACGAAGGAACAUCGUUAAACCGAAGAAACUGGUUGGUGAUUGGAAAUGGGAUGAAUCGAAGUCGAGAUUUUCACCCUUCGAGCGCUAUGGCCGCAUGUAUGGGCAAUUAUCGAUGUUUUU